UGUCAUGGAGUUGCUCUCU
rnacentral:miRNA from 1 species